UCACCUAAUUAGAGAAGAAGUUUUAGUCCUUUUGGACAUUUUCGUUGUGCUUGAGUCAAACUCAAUUUUAAUCCUAAUCUAAUUAGAAUUUAGUGUAUUCAUAAAUAAGAGAAUUCUUAGUCCAAAUAGAAAUUUAAAUAUUCUUAGUUAAAUCCUAGUCUAAUUAAAAAUUAAGUCAAACUCAAAUCCUAAUUCAACAAAAAUUAUUCUCCC
rnacentral:lncRNA from 1 species